rnacentral:rRNA from 1 species
GGUCAAGUUAUUAAGGGUGCAGGGCGGAUGCCUUGGCACUAGGAGCCGAUGAAGGACGUGAUAAGCUGCGAUAAGCUUCGGGGAGUUGCACGUAAACUUUGAUCCGAAGAUUUCCGAAUGAGGAAACUCACUUAGAGUAAUGUCUAAGUAUCAUUAAGUGAAUACAUAGCUUAAUGAGGGGAACUCAGGGAACUGAAACAUCUAAGUACCUGAAGGAAGAGAAAGAAAUUCGAUUCCGUAAGUAGCGGCGAGCGAACGCGGAUUAGCCCAAACCAAUAAAGUUUUCUUUAUUGGGGUUGCGGACAUAUCAUAACGAAGAGGUAUCGUAAUUGAAGAGGUUUGGAAAGACCCACCACAGAAGGUAAUAGUCCUGUAUGUUAAACGAGAAGACUUUAGAUAUGAUCCAGAGUACCACGGGACACGUGAAACCCUGUGGGAAGCAGGAGGGACCACCCUCCAAGGCUAAAUACUACCUAGUGACCGAUAGCGUAUAGUACCGUGAGGGAAAGGUGAAAAGAACCCCGGGAGGGGAGUGAAAUAGAACCUGAAACCCUGCACUUACAAGCUGUGGAAGCACAUUUCUUGUGUGACCGCGUACUUUUUGUAGAACGGGCCAACGAGUUACGUUAAGUAGCAAGGUUAAGCACUUAAGGUGCGGAGCCGUAGCGAAAGCGAGUUUUAACUGAGCGUUCAGUUACUUGACGUAGACCCGAAACCGGGCGACCUACCCAUGAGCAGGAUGAAGCGAAAGUAAAAUUUCGUGGAGGUCCGAACCCACGAGCGUUGAAAAGCUCGGGGAUGACUUGUGGGUAGCGGUGAAAUUCCAAUCGAGCCCGGAGAUAGCUGGUUCUCCCCGAAAUAGCUUUAGGGCUAGCCUCAAGGUGAGAGAUACGGAGGUAGAGCACUGAAUGUCCUAGGGGGUAUUGCACCUACCGAAGACUAUCAAACUCCGAAUGCCGUCAUCUUAUACUUGGGAGUCAGACUGUGGGUGAUAAGAUUCAUAGUCGAAAGGGCAACAGCCCAGAUCGUCAGCUAAGGUCCCUAAAUGUAAGUUAAGUGGUAAAGGAUGUGGGAUUGCACAGACAACCAGGAUGUUGGCUUAGAAGCAGCCACUCAUUCAAAGAGUGCGUAAUAGCUCACUGGUCGAGUGAUCCUGCGCCGAAGAUUUCCGGGGCUAAAACUUACUACCGAAGCUACGGCAUCAGUAAUGAUGGGUAGGGGAGCUUCCCAUACGGGUUGAAGCAUGACCGUAAGGACAUGUGGACAGUAUGGGAGUGAGAAUGUUGGCAUGAGUAGCGAGAUGUGGGUGAGAAUCCCACAGGCCGUAAACCCAAGGUUUCCAGGGGAAGGUUCGUCCGCCCUGGGUUAGUCGGGACCUAAGCUGAGGCCGAAAGGCGUAGGUGAUGGACAACAGGUUGAUAUUCCUGUACUACCGAUAACCGUUUGAGAGAAGGGAUGACACAGUAGGAUAAGCUAAGCACACUGUUGGUUAUGUGUGCCCAAGCAUUGAGGCAGUCAAAGUAGGCAAAUCCGCUUUGAUAAUGCUGGGAUGUGAUGGGGAGCGAAAUUUAGUAGCGAAGUAGCUGAUUUCACACUGUCAAGAAAAGUCUCUAUCGAGGUUAAAGGUACCCGUACCGCAAACCGACACAGGUGGGUGAGGAGAGUAUCCUAAGGCCAGCGAGAGAACUGUUGUUAAGGAACUCGGCAAAAUGACCCCGUAACUUAGGGAUAAGGGGUGCCACCAUCAGGUGGCCGCAGAGAAUAGGCCCAAGCGACUGUUUACCAAAAACAUAGGUUUCUGCUAAGUCGCAAGACGAUGUAUAGGAGCUGACGCCUGCCCGGUGCUGGAAGGUUAAGGGGAUCUGUUAGAGCAAUCGAAGCAGUGAACUUAAGCCCCAGUAAACGGCGGCCGUAACUAUAACGGUCCUAAGGUAGCGAAAUUCCUUGUCGGGUAAGUUCCGACCCGCACGAAAGGCGUAACGAUUUGGGCACUGUCUCAACAACAGACUCGGUGAAAUUGUAAUUCCGGUGAAGAUGCCGGAUACCUGCGACAGGACGGAAAGACCCCAUGGAGCUUUACUGUAGCUUGACAUUGGGUCUUGGUACUACAUGUACAGGAUAGGUGGGAGGCUUUGAAACCAGGACGCCAGUUUUGGCGGAGCCAUCCUUGGGAUACCACCCUUGUAGUACUGGGACUCUAACCAUAGGCCAUGAAUCUGGCCUUGGGACACUGUCAGGUGGGCAGUUUGACUGGGGCGGUCGCCUCCCAAAAGGUAACGGAGGCGCUCAAAGGUUCUCUCAGUACGGUCGGAAAUCGUACGUAGAGUGUAAAGGCAAAAGAGAGCUUGAUUGCAAGACAUACAGGUCGAGCAAGGAUGAAAAUCGGACUUAGUGAUCCGGUGGUUCUGCGUGGAAGGGCCAUCGCUCAACGGAUAAAAGCUACCCUGGGGAUAACAGGCUUAUCUCCCCCAAGAGUCCACAUCGACGGGGAGGUUUGGCACCUCGAUGUCGGCUCAUCACAUCCUGGGGCUGUAGUAGGUCCCAAGGGUUGGGCUGUUCGCCCAUUAAAGUGGUACGCGAGCUGGGUUCAGAACGUCGUGAGACAGUUCGGUCCCUAUCCGUCGCAGGCGUAGGAAAUUUGAGAAGACCUGUCCUUAGUACGAGAGGACCGGGAUGGACGUACCUCUGGUGUACCAGUUGUCCUGCCAAGGGCAUGGCUGGGUAGCUAUGUACGGAAUGGAUAAGCGCUGAAAGCAUCUAAGCGCGAAGCCAACUUCAAGAUAAGAUUUCCCACCGCAAGGGUAAGACCCCAGAAAGACUAUCUGGUUGAUAGGUCGAAGGUGUAAGUGCAGCAAUGUAUUUAGCUUAUCGAUACUAAUAGGUCGAGGACUUGACCAA